CCUACGGGUGGCAGCAGUGAGGAAUAUUGGUCAAUGGGCGGAAGCCUGAACCAGCAACGCCGCGUGAGGGAUGACGGUUUUCGGAUUGUAAACCUCUGUUCUCUGGGAAGAAAAUGAGUGUAGCUGAGUAGGAAGCUCUGGCUAAUUACGUGCCAGCAGCCGCGGUAUUACGUCGGGCGCGCGCGUGUGCCGGAUUUACUGGGUGUAAAGGGUGCGUAGGCGGCACUGCAAGUCAGAAGUGAAAUCCAUGGGCUUAACCCGUGAACUGCUUUUGAAACUGCAGGACUUGAGUGGAGUAGAGGUAGGCGGAAUUCCAGGUGUAGCGGUGAAAUGCGUAGAGAUCGGGAGGAACACCAGUGGCGAAGGCGGCCUACUGGGCUUUAACUGACGCUGAAGCACGAAAGCGUGGGUAGCAAACAGGAUUAGAUACCCCAGUAGUC
rnacentral:rRNA from 1 species